GACGAACGCUGGCGGCGUGCUUAACACAUGCAAGUCGAGCGGUAAGGCCCUUUCGGGGGUACACGAGCGGCGAACGGGUGAGUAACACGUGGGUGACCUGCCUUCAGCUCUGGGAUAAGCCUGGGAAACUGGGUCUAAUACCGGAUAUGACUCCAUGAUGCAUGUUGUGGGGUGGAAAGCUUUUGCGUCUGGAGAUGGGCCCGCGGCCUAUCAGCUUGUUGGUGGGGUGAGGCCUACCAAGGCGACGACGGGUAGCCGGCCUGAGAGGGCGACCGGCCACACUGGGACUGAGACACGGCCCAGACUCCUACGGGAGGCAGCAGUGGGGAAUCUUGCGCAAU
rnacentral:rRNA from 1 species